AACGAACGCUGGCGGCAUGCCUAACACAUGCAAGUCGAACGAAGCCUUCGGGCUUAGUGGCGCACGGGUGCGUAACGCGUGGGAAUCUGCCCUUGGGUUCGGAAUAACAGUUAGAAAUGACUGCUAAUACCGAAUGAUGUCUUCGGACCAAAGAUUUGUCGCCCAAGGAUGAGCCCGCGUCGGAUUAGCUAGUUGGUGAGGUAAAGGCUCACCAAGGCGACGAUCCGUAGCUGGUCUGAGAGGAUGAUCAGCCACACUGGGACUGAGACACGGCCCAGACUCCUACGGGAGGCAGCAGUAAGGAAUAUUGGACAAUGGUCGCAAGACUGAUCCAGCCAUGCCGCGUGCAGGAUGACAGCCCUAUGGGUCGUAAACUGCUUUUGUGCGAGAAAAAACCCCUCUACGUGUAGAGGGCUGAUUGUAUCGUAAGAAUAAGGAUCGGCUAACUCCGUGCCAGCAGCCGCGGUAAU
rnacentral:rRNA from 1 species